UAUUAGAGGCACUGCCUGCCCAGUGACUAAAGUUUAACGGCCGCGGUAUCCUGACCGUGCAAAGGUAGCAUAAUCACUUGUUCCUUAAUUAGGGACUGGUAUGAAUGGCUAAACGAGGGUUUAACUGUCUCUUAUUUUUGAUCAGUGAAAUUGACCUCCCAGUGAAGAGGCUGGGAUACUAUAAUAAGACGAGAAGACCCUGUGGAGCUUAAAUUUAUUAGUCUAUUUAACUAACCUAUAAAUAUCCAACGAUACUAAAAACUAUAAAAUUAGACUUAAAAUUUUGGUUGGGGUGACCUCGGAGAACAAACCAACCUCCGAAUGAUUUUAGCCAAGUCCAACAAGACAAAGCACUUAUAUAAUCUUAUUGACCCAAAUUAUUAUUUGAUCAACGGACCAAGUUACCCCAGGGAUAACAGCGCAAUCCUAUUUAAGAGUCCAUAUCGACAAUUAGGGUUUACGACCUCGAUGUUGGAUCAGGACAUCCCAAUGGUGCAGAAACUAUUAAUGGUUCGUUUGUUCAACGAUUAAAGUUCUACGUGAUCUGAGU
rnacentral:rRNA from 1 species